CCCUUAGAUGUUCUGGGCCGCACGCGUGCUACACUGAGUGGAUCAGCGGGUCAGGUUGCGCGAAAGCGUUUCCUAAUCUUUAAAUCCGCUCGUGAUGGGGAUUGACGGUUGCAAUUUUCUGUCAUGAACGAGGAAUACCUUGUAAGCGCGGGUCAUCAUCCCGCGCUGAAUACGUCCCUGGCCUUUGUACACACCGCCCGUCGCUCCUACCGAUUGAGUGGUCCGGUGAGGCUUUGGGAUCUGAGCGGAAAGAGCGUUUCGCUGUUUCUGCUCGGAAAACUCAGUCGAACCUUAUCAUUUAGAGGAAGGAGAAGUCGUAACA
rnacentral:rRNA from 1 species